AGUCCUUGACAUUCUCCGGGCGGUUUCCAGAAAUGGAUUCCUCCUAGCAAUAGGUCGGAGAACAGGUGCUGCAUGGCUGUCGUCAGCUCGUGUCGUGAGAUGUUGGGUUAAGUCCCCGCAACGAGCGCAACCCUCGCCAUUAGUUGCCAUCAUUAAGUUGGGUCGACUCUAGUGGGACGUGCCGGUGAUAAGCCGGAGGAAGGUGGGGAGUGACGUCAAGUCAUCAUGGCCCUUACGGGCCG
rnacentral:rRNA from 1 species